ACCACCACUGCCAGGCUUGACCACGUCAUUAUAAGAAUUCUGGAGUCUUCAGCAGAGUUUGCCUCUGUCCAUUCUACCACCGUACUGCCCUGCCCCUUUCGAGUCCUCACACCAUUGCACUAAGCAAUCCCCCAAACAGACCACACCCCUCCAGCACACACGAAUCUCAGCUUGCACAAGUGGACACUGCACCAAACUCUGGGGGUGGGACAUAGGCUGGUUUCUACCUGAAUUUCUUCCUCUUUUGUGUCAACCUUCUGUUUCUUCUGGGAAAGAUGACGGGUUGGAAUGUUUUUUCCAGUUCUCCACUCUCUUAUAGUGGAUAAAGUGCUCAAGCCACUCAAUGUGACUUCGCAGUGUCUCUCGGUCAAUGGAUUUAUCUUCCAUGACACUGCUGUGGAACGCAUCAUGGUCACCUGUGUAGCUGUCAUUUAUAAUGGAUAUUAUGGUUUGGAUUCUUCUUUUGAUGGUGCUGGGGAUUGAACCCAGGACCUUGCAUGUGCUAGGCAGACUGGACUACAGCCCCAGCUGUAUAGUCUGUCGUUGUUUAACCUGAUAUUUACUGAGUGAUAUGUGUGUGCAUGCACAUGAGAGAGAAGGGGGAGGGGGAGAAGGAAAGAGGGGAAGGGAAGGGGAGAGGGGGAGGGAGGUGGGAGGAGAGAUGGUUCACCCGUGGAGGUCAGAGGAUGACUCCUAGGAGUUAGUUGUUCCUUUCUACAUGUGGGUCCCAAGGAUGGAACUCACGUCAUCAGGGUUAGCAGCAAGCACCUUACCCAGUGAGCCACCCCAUCGGCCUUGGUCUGGAUCUUACACAUCCCCCAAACCUUCUGUGUUGAUGGCUUGCUAUUCAGCUGAUGGGCUACCGGAAAGUUGUGGUAAGGAGGUGAGUUCUAGAGAACAUAAGACAUUGGGGACAAGCCCUUCUCGCCCUCUGUGAUUUAUUUCCAUCUGUCCUAAGGCACCCUGUCGUCUUCUUCACCUGCCUUUGUCACCAUGACGUACUGGGCUGUCCCCCACGGGCCCCAGACAACAAGACUAAGCAACCCUGGACUGUAGCUUCUGAAACCAUGAGCUAAAAUGAAGUUUUCUUUUUGUGGGGUUUUUUUUUGGGGGGGGGGCUUGUCACAGAAGUGGAAAGCUGAGUGUCACCAUGAGGUGAGUUUCACCAUGAGGAGACACAUCUGUUGAACCUGUUAAGUCGGAGAGCAAAUGAAAGAGACCCGCCCACAUUUGACCUCGGCCAGAAGUUCAGCCCAUUUGGCAGGUGCAAGCAUAAGAAAUACAAACCCUUGCCAGCAUAAACCUCUGAACCCAGAGCAGAUGCCACCGCUCAGCCCUGCCUGGCCCGUUCCAGGCCUAGGCCCUUCCAGCAGCUGUCCUGCUGGACUGACAUUUCCUUUCUGUGCUUAAGCCUGGUAAGCUAACAGCCGGGCACAGAGCUUCUCUGUGGCUAGUCCCAGAUGCCCGGCUGCCUCUGCUGCCUCCCUCGGCUCGCUCCCAGCUUCCAGGAAUAGAUCUUUCAUUAAUUUGACUUAGAAUCCCACACUUUCCACCCCAAACCCUGGAUGCACAUAGACAAGCUGCACCCCUAAUCCCUGAAUGGACAAAAUGAGGAUUAUAGUGUUGCAAGGCUGUGGUUGUGAGGGAAAUUAAAUCACGGGGCAGGGCUAGCUGGCUGUGAGUCCCUGAGACCUCCAGAGAAGCUAGCUUUCUGGGUUGAUCGUAUUACUGCUGACACUGAAUGCAGAGGCAGCCACACACAGAAGUACCCAGUGAUGCCUGCCGAUCGAUCAGGAGGCCCCAGUUUAUGCUUUCUUCCUCUGACAUUUUGAUACAGCAGAGUACAGCACCCAGUGCCAUGGCGACAGUCUCUAUAAAAGUCUCCAGCCUGCUUUCAGCACACCUACACUACGGCUGGAUGCAGUGGGAGGUGGCACAGAUCUGGACCAAUGGAGGGAAGGCAUGCUUAGCCUUGGCCUGGUUACAAAGAACAUUUAUUUUUCCUCUUUGAAAUGGACCUUCCUGUCCCCGAUUCAGCACCAUCCAGUGUUGUGCUAAUGUGGGUUAAUUUCCCAUCAGCUCCUAGAAAGAGUGUUUUUCCAGUCUCUCCAGGGGCAGAGGAGAAUUGUAAAACAGAUAGGACCAGCUUCCAUGCUCCACAAUGCUCAGAGGAGACAGCAUUUCAGGGGUGGGGGAGCUCAAAACAGGUAAUUCUUCAGAUACUUCAGACCGAGGUAGCAUAGCUCUUAGAACUCCUAAGCCCCCAUUGUACUGGCCCUUUUCUUUGUGAGCCUUGCCCCAUAAAGGCUGUAUAAAGGUUCUUAAAAGACACUAUCCAGUGAAUCUGUCCCUUUAAGAGGGUCCUUGAUGAGGGACAGUUAGAGAAUCAAGAAGCCGAGAGCCAGAUGGCACUGAACAGGAUGACAUGAAUUAGGAAGAGACAGCCAGCCUGCGGGCCACCUGCCUUGCUGCCUUGCAGUAAAACCCUCUCUGGUCAAUGGCUACCAGUGGACAGUCUGACAGAUGAGUGGAGCUGACCUCCAGGUCUCACUGUCACUGUGUUCCUGCCUUCAGGUGCUUCCGCUGAGUAAAGCUGAUUGUGAGCUUCAAGGCUGGAGAGAUGGCUCAGCGCUGACUGAGCCUGGCGAAAUUUCCAGCACCCACAGGACAGCUCAUAACUAUCUGUAGCUCCAGACGCACAGACAUACAUGCAGCCCAAACACCCGUAUAUAAAUAAUAAUAAAUAAUAAAAAACAUAAACAUAAAUAUUUUAAAAGAUGAAAUAAAUCCCUCUCUCCCAAGUUUGUUUUGGUGUCUGUCACAGUCACAGAAACCGAACUAAGAGACAUAGUAAUGCUUUUUGUUUUGUUUUUUUUGAGCACCGGGACUUGAACCAGUGCUUCACUGAACCCAGGAUAUUGUGCGUGCGCACAGGCUCACUCCCACUGAGCUAUAGUCCCAGCAUGACUUUUUUUUUUUAAACUUGGAAGGUACAAAGUACGUGUUUAGGGAAUCUAAGGUCCUGGGAAUUUGAAGAUAAAAUUCCUGGUCCUAAAUACAGAUGGGAGGACUUGCUUCGUAUGACAGCCACACAAAGACUCAGACAAGCAUCUGCAUUUCUUUUCUGUGACAGGAGUCCUGAUGCAGACAGUCAAGGACUAAAGCAGUGGUGUUCUGCCCAUCUCCUCCCAGAGGCCAAGGACCCUCCAGUCUUGGUGUCCUGCUCUCCUUGGUACAAAUCUUUCCAUGUGAAUGCUGUCACGUGGUUAAAAAAUGCUGCAGCUCCAGCCUUCAUGCCCACAUUCAAAGGUCCAGGAAGGAAAACCUGCAUGACAGGUUGCCUCUCAGAGGAGUCAGCACUUUGAAAAGUGUUUACUAGAAGUUCCUUGCAAUGACUUAUGUUCACAUAAAUUAAAAAAAAAAAGAA